CUUUGAUGAAGCCAUUCUGAAAUUACAAAAACACACACACACAGACACACACAGUUUUAUGAGACACCAUAAUUUCCAUUUAAUCAAAUAUGACAAAUACAAAAACGUGUUUUUGUCUCUUAAGACGUCUUUCGUGAUAUCACACACUCCGUGCAGUAGGAGGCGCCACAUAUCGUUAACUCUGGAUUCAUACAUGCCAGGAACAGAAUAAGUGCUGCAGUUUCGGAUCCCGCGGAGACAAGGGGGAGCUCAUAACGUGAAACGAGGCAACAGAGGAAAAAAUUAAACCCGAACAUGCAGAACCAGGAUCGCAGAGUUCCGGGGUGUCAGGAAAAACCUUCAACCAAACAACUGACAGUAUGAUGAGCUGAUGGCCCAAGCUGUACACAGAAACAUAAGUAGAAGACAAGAACCUGAACUUCAUGGUCAGCAUCUAAGAGUAUCAAAACACUGCAUAACAAACACUGCACUCAAGUAAUUUACCAACCCUCACUGUAGGGAUCAUGCAGUGCAAAGCCAUAUGGAUGUGUGUGUUUGUUUGUUUGUUUUUUGUUUUUUUGUAGAUAGAUAGAUAGUUAGAUAUCUAACUAUCUAUUUUAACUUGUACAUAGUUAGGAUUUGGCUCUCAAUGCUCUAAAUUCUAAAUGAAGCCAGGCCACGAUCAGGUGGUUUUUUUCUUUUUAUUUGGGAUGCAAGGCUUUAAAAUAUUAUAAAUUUAGGCAAUUCCUCCCAUCAGAUAGCAAACUGUAGACAGUAAUACUACCGCAGCACUGAACUUCUAUAAAACACUGACUGUGACAUACUGAAUUAGAUCAGCGGCUCAGAUGCAUUUACACCAAAGUGGUGGGUGGCCCCAGAAGUUGCCUCACUCAUCCAACUGUUGACUGACCUGGAUGGGGCACACUUCUCAGCAUACAUCUGAUGCUUUCAAAUUCCAUUCAUCCAAGUGACUGUUAAGCUGUGUUAGCUGAAUGGAUUAGUAUCAUGUUUUAGCUUUCUACAGUUCUUUGUGAAUAUACAAGUGUUCUUUUAUAUUAAUUGUUCUGAUUGUUUUAUGUGAAUAUGGUAGGUAGAUCGCUUGUUUCUAAUAAUUUGUUUCCUUAAUUUAAUUUUGCAAAGUUGAAUUAAAACCUCAGAAAGACAGCCUGUUUGUGUAAAUCCAUUUGUUUCACAUUUCCAUAGCAGCUCCUGUAACCGUUUUGGGGAAUUUCAUUUUACAAGUCUUUGUUUAAUAUCCUUGAAUUAAUAUUUAGACUAGUGACAGACACACAUAUGCGAUCAUCUAUCAUCUAAUCAUGUAAUCACAAUAGAAUAAAAUAAAAUUAUUUGAAAGUCAUCUACUGACCAAAAAUG